rnacentral:rRNA from 1 species
AAUAGAUACCCCGGUAGUCCACGCCGUAAACGAUGAGUGCUAAGUGUUAGAGGGUUUCCGCCCUUUAGUGCUGCAGCUAACGCAUUAAGCACUCCGCCUGGGGAGUACGGUCGCAAGACUGAAACUCAAAGGAAUUGACGGGGGCCCGCACAAGCGGUGGAGCAUGUGGUUUAAUUCGAAGCAACGCGAAGAACCUUACCAGGUCUUGACAUCCUCUGACAACUCUAGAGAUAGAGCGUUCCCCUUCGGGGGACAGAGUGACAGGUGGUGCAUGGUUGUCGUCAGCUCGUGUCGUGAGAUGUUGGGUUAAGUCCCGCAACGAGCGCAACCCUUGAUCUUAGUUGCCAGCAUUUAGUUGGGCACUCUAAGGUGACUGCCGGUGACAAACCGGAGGAAGGUGGGGAUGACGUCAAAUCAUCAUGCCCCUUAUGACCUGGGCUACACACGUGCUACAAUGGAUGGUACAAAGGGCUGCAAGACCGCGAGGUCAAGCCAAUCCCAAUAAAACCAUUCUCAGUUCGGAUUGUAGG